UGUGCAUUGGUGGGGUCCCUCGGCCUGGCCUGUGGACAUCCCUCAAGGGGUCCUGGAUUAUGAGAGGGUGCAGGCCAGGCCAAGGGACUCCACCGGUGCAAG
rfam:Myotis lucifugus cont2.2882, whole genome shotgun sequence.